ACAACCCAGGCAUGUGCCCUGACCUGGAAUUGAACUGGCAAUCUCUCAUUUUUUUGUGGGAUGACACAUAACCAACUGAGCCACACCAGUCAGGGUUAGUAGGUGAAAGUUUAAUGAGAAGUAGGAUAUUUACACAGUCUCAAAAUAGUUAAUUAGCAAAUGUUCACUAAUUUUACAGUGAAGAAACCUGAUGGACACUUUCUCAACCAAUGAUAAAAGUUAACACUUCUGGAAAUGGGACAAAACCAAAUUGUGCACCUUCCUGUUACAAUGCACCUGGAAAAGCACAGCCCCACUUCUUCAAUCCUCCUGCCGAAAAUGUGUAACCUGGAUCUAAUCAUGAGGGGACAACAACAGAGCCAAACUGAUGGACAUUCUACAAAGUAACUGACCUGUUCUCUUCAAAAACGCCAAUGUCAUGAAACACAAAGACUAAGGAACUGUUACUGAUUAGAGGAGACUAAACAGCCAUGACAACCAAUGCAAAGUGUGAUCCUGGAUUGGCUCCUGGGCUUGUAAAGGACUUUACUAGGACCACUGGCAAAAUGUAAAGGUGGCCUAUGGAUUAGAAGAUGUAUGGUGACAAUGUUAAUAUCCUGAUUUGGGUGGGUAUACGGUGGCUUUACAGAAACAUGUCCUUGUUUUUAAGAAAUAUAUACAGAGUAUUUAGGGAUACUGUCUACAACCUAUUCUUGAAUGGUUCAGGAAAAAAAGUGUGUAUGUGUAUUGUAGAGACAAAGAGAGAGACAAAUGUGGUAGAAUGUUAACAAUUUAGGGAAAUUGGGUAAAGGGUUGGCACAGGUUUAGUGGGUACCCCAGAUACCCCAACUACACAGUUCUGGUCACACCCACCAGGGGACACCUGUUAAGACAGUGUACUUUUGAUCUGGAGGACUAGAUUGAAAGGCAUGUUGGCAGUACUUCUCUUACUUUAAAUACUAAAUGGUGUUUAAUUAUCAAUGCUGAGUGAAGAAUAGGAUACCAUAAACUCCUUGAGGUAAAGGCUAUGUCAUUUAUCUCUGAAUCCCUACCCCCACACUACAUUUAGUGUCUCAUAAGUACUCAGAUAGGACUCAAUAAAUAUAUCUUGAAUGCAGCCACUUAUAGUGAGUCAAAUAGUAUCUCUCUGCAAAAUUCAUGUGUACCAGAACCUCAGAAUGUGAACUCCUUUGGGAACAGGGUCUUUGAAGAUGCAAUUAAAGAUUGAGAUGAAAUCAUACUAGAUUAGGUUGGGAUCUAAUUCCAACAAGAGUGUCUUUACAAGAGACAGAAAAAGACAUACAGAGACACAGAGAAGGCAAUGCAAAAGAUGGAGGUAGAGAAUAGAGUGAUGUGUCUACAAGCCAAGGAAUGUUAAGGAUUGCCAGCAGUCACCAGAAGCUAGGAGACAGGCAUAGGAUGGAUUCUCAUUCAGAGCCUCUGGAAGGAACAACCCUAUACACAUCUUGAUUUUGUACUUCUGGACUCCAGAACUAUGAGACAAUUCCUAUUGUUUGAAGUCACCCAGUUUGUGGUACUUUAUUACAGUAGCCAUAGGAAAUAAAAACACUACCCAAAGAAUAUUUAAAAUGGCUUUCCAACACUAAAAUCUUACUUAACAUGCUAACUUAAUUAAGGUAAAUCAGUUUAACAUAUUCAUAUUUCAGCUAAAUGAAUACGGUAGAAUCUUAAGCCACACAUUAUGCAGGCACAGUUUAUGGCAUUAAGCUGCUCUUAUGCUUCAUGGGAACAAUGGAGACUGUCAGAGACUAACAUGAGGUGCACACUGUAUUUUAUUUCCUUAAAAAGCAAAUGAUUUACUAAAGUACUAAAAACCUACUAUACGAAUGACACAUUUUUAGAUGCUCUGACAUGUCACAAAUAAACUACAAUAAAAAUUUCUUAGAACGGGAUAAAAAUGUAAAAAUGAACAGGAUACUAAAUUGGCAUGUCUUUCUAGCUAUGAAUCAUACCACAUACACAACACAGUUACACAUAAAUCUAUCACUGAAAAUUGGGCCAUAUGAAAUUUUUAAAUGCAGUGAAGUGGGCCACCAGGCAAUCACUAGUAAAUAAGCCUAUGAAAUACUUAUGAUUAACAGCAAAAAGAGAAAAUACUUUUGGAUUAGAAUAUUGGAAAUAGUUAAAUUAUUCAGUGCCUCUGCAGAAAACAAAGUUGAUUUUAAUUUAGUCAGUGAAACAUAAAGUAAUGUUGAUGUCAGAGAAGGGGUUUCAAUGGGAACAGCAGAGCUCAUUCAUCAAGAAGGCACUUGCCCUUCCUCUGCAAUGUUUCACGUUCAAGCCCUGUGUCUAUUUAUAAUGGUUGGGCACAUGUCACUACAAUGGUUGAUUGUAUUGUGCAGCUGUUUGUGUGUAUCGAGAAGGGCAGUCAUGGACAGUCUGCACUUUGAUGUUUCCCUUUUGGAGAGAUUUAAAAUAACAUUUAAAAACUGCCAACCAGCAAGGUCACAAAAUAUUUUUGGAUGACAAGGGGAAGGAUUGCAAACUUGUGGUUCACUUCAGAUGCGGGGGUCUGAAACUCAGCCAACAAGCCUGAUUGCACAACAUCCUGCCAAUGCCAACUUCAAAAGUUACUUGCUUCAGAGGGCUCACAAACUACUUCCCAGUAAUAAAACCAUGUUUUAUAAAUUUGCAGAGGGUCUCCCUCAGAGGAAAUAUCCAAGGAAACAAGGAUUUCCCUUACCACCUUAUUUACAAUUAUAAGCACCACCACCACCAGGCCUCUCCGUUGCCCUCACCCCACAGCACCCUCAAACCCCUGCUCUAUCAUGCUGAAUUUUCUCAAAGUACUUACCAUGGACAUGCUUACUAUAUACUUUUCUAAUAUAUGCAUCAAUUUUUGACUCCCCUACUUUAUUAUAUUAUGGUCCACAAAAGCAGGGCUUUGUGUCUGCUUUGUUCAGUGGUGUAUCCACAGAACUGAGACUUUCAUCUGGCACAAAGAAUUUAUUGAGCGCAUACUUGUGGAAUUACUUAAUUUAAAUAGCAGAAACAAUAGUUCCAGGAAACACAUGGGAAUACUGAUGACCCGUAUCAGAUUCCAGAAUUCUGUCACCCUUCCCCCCACCACACACAAAGAUUUGAGUUUUAUUCACAUAUUUAUGGCAUGUAAAAAUAGAAACAGACUUAAUAAAAUACCUAACUUUCUCAACCUGUGGUAGAAUGCAAGGACUAAGAUCUCAUAGGACUCAAUUCUGAAAUAAUAUUAAUUCAAAAUGUAUCUCUGAUACUCUUCUGGUCACUGUUUGCCCAGCCAACAAACCUUGCUGGAGAUUAGAUGGGAGAAGCACCUGUGCUAAUGAAAAGUUUAGCCCUAGCUAAAUGAGAAUUAAAAAAUUAGCAAGUUACUCAAAAAAUGCUAGAUUGCAUACAACAAUUCUUGAGAUUUUAGAGAGUUUUUUUUUCAGGGUUUUACAUCAAUAUAUCAUAAAAACCUAACUAAUUAUUUUAGGUAAAUAAAAUUCAGUGAUAUACCCAUC